UCAACCAANGUAUGCUUUGGAAACUGUUAGACUUGAGUGCAGAAGGGGAGAGUGGAAUUCCAUGUGUAGCGGUGAAAUGCGUAGAUAUAUGGAGGAACACCGGUGGCGAAAGCGGCUCUCUGGUCUGUCACUGACGCUGAGGCUCGAAAGCGUGGGUAGCGAACAGGAUUAGAUACCCUGGUAGUNCACGCCGUAAACGCUGAGUGCUAGGUGUUAGGUCCUUUCCGGGACUUAGUGCCGACGCUAACGCAUUAAGCACUCCGCCUGGGGAGUACGACCGCAAGGUUGAAACUCAAAGGAAUUGACGGGGGCCCGCACAAGCGGUGGAGCAUGUGGUUUAAUUCGAAGCAACGCGAAGAACCUUACCAGGUCUUGACAUCCCGAUGCCCGCUCUAGAGAUAGAGUUUUUCUUCGGAACAUCGGAGACAGGUGGUGCAUGGUUGUCGUCAGCUCGUGUCGUGAGAUGUUGGGUUAAGUCCCGCAACGAGCGCAACCCUUAUUGUUAGUUGCCAUCAUUAAGUUGGGCACUCUAGCGAGACUGCCGGUAAUAAACCGGAGGAAGGUGGGGAUGACGUCAAAUCAUCAUGCCCCUUAUGACCUGGGCUACACACGUGCUACAAUGGUUGGUACAACGAGUCGCAAGCCGGUGACGGCAAGCUAAUCUCUGAAAGCCAAUCUCAGUUCGGAUUGUAGGCUGCAACUCGCCUACAUGAAGUCGGAAUCGCUAGUAAUCGCGGAUCAGCACGCCGCGGUGAAUACGUUCCCGGGCCUUGUACACACCGCCCGUCACACCACGAGAGUUUGUAACACCCAAAGUCGGUGAGGUAACCAUUUANGGGGCCA
rnacentral:rRNA from 1 species